rnacentral:rRNA from 1 species
GCGCGGUAAGUCGGAUGUGAAAUCCCGGGGCUCAACCCCGGAACUGCAUCUGAUACUGCCGUGCUAGAGUAAUGGAGAGGUAGCUGGAAUUAUCGGUGUAGCAGUGAAAUGCGUAGAUAUCGAUAGGAACACUCGUGGCGAAAGCGAGCUACUGGACAUUUACUGACGCUGAGGCUCGAAGGCUAGGGGAGCGAAAGGGAUUAGAUACCCCUGUAGUCCUAGCAGUAAACGGUGCACGCUUGGUGUGAGGGGAAUCGACCCCCCUUGUGCCGGAGCUAACGCGUUAAGCGUGCCGCCUGGGAAGUACGGUCGCAAGACUAAAACUCAAAGAAAUUGACGGGGACCCGCACAAGCGGUGGAGUAUGUGGCUUAAUUCGAUGCAACGCGAAGAACCUUACCAAGGCUUGACAUGCAUCUCUAAACACGUGAAAGCGUGUGACCCUUCGGGGAAUUUGCACAGGUGCUGCAUGGCCGUCGUCAGCUCGUGUCGUGAGAUGUUGGGUUAAGUCCCGCAACGAGCGCAACCCUUGUGAUUAGUUGCCAGCACGUAAUGGUGGGGACUCUAGUCAGACUGCCCAGAUCAACUGGGAGGAAGGUGGGGACGACGUCAGGUCAGUAUGGCCCUUACGCCUUGGGCUGCACACGUACUACAAUGCCCAGCACAAUGAGAACCGAUACCGCGAGGUGGAGGAAAUCUGUAAAACUGGGCCCAGUUCGGAUUGGAGGCUGCAACUCGCCUCCAUGAAGUUGGAAUCGCUAGUAAUGGGGCAUCAUCUGCGGCCCCGUGAAUACGUUCCCGGGUCUUGUACACACCGCCCGUCACAUCAUGGAAGCUGGUCGCACCCGAAGUGCUCGCGCCAACCGCAAGGAGGUAGAGCCCUAAGGUAAGGCUGGUAACUGGGAUGAAGUCGUAACAAGGUAACCAAGGGCGAA